CCCAGGAAACCUACCAUGUUCCGCAUAGUGCUGCCAACGUUGCAGCGAGAGGCGGACGGAGCAGAAGUGCUCCCGACACACAUAUGGCUACUGGGGAACAUGCUGCAGCCUAAACCGGAAACAGCCCAACUAUCCUUCCACAAGAGAAUGAGAAGAAGUAAAACUGUAGCAGCUUCAUGCAGUGGGAUGCUUCUCAGUGAUGAAGGUGAAUCAUUUCACAGCAACUUCUGACAACACAGAUGAAUCUUCAGACAGAAAAUCGAGUGAGAGAAGCUGGCCAUAAAAGGGCCCCUAUUGUCAGGUUCCAUUUAUAUAAAGCUCAAGUCCAGGCAAGGCUGUAGAAGUCAGGAGAGUGGUUACCCUUUGGGGAGGGUAGUGACUAAAAGGGGACAUGAGGGAGGCCCCUGGCAUCCUGGGAAUGUUCUGUUCCUUAAUCUCGGCGCUGGUUGCAUGAUGUGCUCAGUGUGUGAAAGUUCAUUGUGCUGUACACUUAACGAUUGUGUGCUUUUCUCUAUGUAUAUUAUAUUUAUGUAAAUCAUUUUUUAAAAAGAUGUAAGUAUUAGAAAUGAGUCUGCAGAAUGGA